rnacentral:lncRNA from 1 species
GGGGUUGCUUGCUGGCUGAAAGGAAGGAGAAUCAAAUUUAGAAAUAUCUGAAAGGAAAUCCAGAUAUAGGCUAUUAAUAGAUGAGAGGUGAAGCUAGGCUAUAUCAGCUGCUGAGGUAAUUAUCCAGUUGAUAUUUAUCUUGUUCCAGUCACCUUUAGAAAGCUGUUUGGUUUUGGAAAUCACUAGUGGGUAAAAAAGACCAAUUUGCAACUAGGCUCUCAUGCUCUGUUGAAAACUAUGUCACAAUAUCACAAUACUAGAUGCUGGGCUCAAGACAGCAAACAGAAAGCAGCAAGGGCAGUGACUGGAAGCUGGGAGAGAGGGUCAACAGCUGAAUCUC